rnacentral:rRNA from 1 species
GACCUCGGAUCAGGUAGGGAUACCCGCUGAACUUAAGCAUAUCAAUAAGCGGAGGAAAAGAAACCAACAGGGAUUGCCUUAGUAACGGCGAGUGAAGCGGCAACAGCUCAAAUUUGAAAUCUGGCCUCAUGGUCCGAAUUGUAAUUUGUAGAGGAUGCUUCGAGCAUGGUCUGGUCUAAGUUCCUUGGAACAGGACGUCAUAGAGGGUGAGAAUCCCGUAUGCGACUAGGUGCCUAAGCUCAUGUGAAGCUCCUUCGACGAGUCGAGUUGUUUGGGAAUGCAGCUCAAAAUGGGUGGUAAAUUUCAUCUAAAGCUAAAUACUGGCCAGAGACCGAUAGCGCACAAGUAGAGUGAUCGAAAGAUGAAAAGCACUUUGGAAAGAGAGUUAAACAGUACGUGAAAUUGUUGAAAGGGAAGCGC